GCGCAGGAAGCGCAAUGGCCUCGCAUCCUGCCUGGAAAGCAGAGGUUGCGAGUUUGAAUCCCGCCUAGUGCA
rnacentral:tRNA from 1 species